rnacentral:rRNA from 1 species
AUUGAACGCUGGCGGCAUGCCUUACACAUGCAAGUCGAACGGCAGCGGGGACUUCGGUCCGCCGGCGAGUGGCGAACGGGUGAGUAAUGUAUCGGAACGUACCUUUCAGUGGGGGAUAACGUAGCGAAAGUUACGCUAAUACCGCAUAUUCUGUGAGCAGGAAAGCAGGGGAUCGCAAGACCUUGCGCUGAUUGAGCGGCCGAUAUCAGAUUAGCUAGUUGGUGGGGUAAAGGCCUACCAAGGCUACGAUCUGUAGCGGGUUUGAGAGGAUGAUCCGCCACACUGGGACUGAGACACGGCCCCGACUCCUACGGGAGGCAGCAGUGGGGAAUUUUGGACAAUGGGGGCAACCCUGAUCCAGCCCUGCCGCGUGAGUGAAGAAGGCCUUCGGGUUGUAAAGCUCUUUCGGCCGGGAAGAAAUCGCAUCAGCUAAUACCUGGUGUGGAUGACGGUACCAGGAUAAGAAGCACCGGCUAACUACGUG